AUAUCAAUAAGCGGAGGAAAAGAAACUAACAAGGAUUCCCCUAGUAACGGCGAGUGAAGUGGGAAAAGCUCAACUCUGAAAUCUGGCAGCUUCGCUGUCCGAGUUGUAGUCUCGAGAAGCGUUUUCCGUGUCAAUGCAUGCAUGAGUCUGUUGGGAUACAGCGUCAUAGAGGGUGAGAACCCCGUUCGUGGCAUGCCUUUUGAUACUCUGUGAUACGUUUUCGAUGAGUCGAGUUGUUUGGGAAUGCAGCUCAAAGCGGGUGGUAAAUUCCAUCUAAAGCUAAAUAUUGGCGGGAGACCGAUAGCAAACAAGUACCGUGAGGGAAAGAUGAAAAGCACUUUGGAAAGAGAGUUAAAAGUAC
rnacentral:rRNA from 1 species